UAGGGAAUCUUCGGCAAUGGACGAAAGUCUGACCGAGCAACGCCGCGUGAGUGAAGAAGGUUUUCGGAUCGUAAAACUCUGUUGUUAGAGAAGAACAAGGACGUUAGUAACUGAACGUCCCCUGACGGUAUCUAACCAGAAAGCCACGGCUAACUACGUGCCAGCAGCCGCGGUAAUACGUAGGUGGCAAGCGUUGUCCGGAUUUAUUGGGCGUAAAGCGAGCGCAGGCGGUUUCUUAAGUCUGAUGUGAAAGCCCCCGGCUCAACCGGGGAGGGUCAUUGGAAACUGUGGGACUUGAGUGCAGAAGAGGAGAGUGGAAUUCCAUGUGUAGCGGUGAAAUGCGUAGAUAUAUGGAGGAAAACCAGUGGCGAAGGCGGCUCUCUGGUCUGUAACUGACACUGAGGCUCGAAAGCGUGGGGAGCAAACAGG
rnacentral:rRNA from 1 species